GUAUUCGUUUGCUAGGGUUGCCAUAAUGAAGUAUCACUACAGCAGCCGACAACAAAAGUGGCUCAAACAACAGAAAUUGAUUCUUUCACAAUUCUGGAAAUUGGAAGAACAAGACCAAGGUGUGAACAGUUUAUAGGAACAUCACCAGUAACUGAUUUCUUUUAAAGCCGGGUUUAAAGCUGAAACUUCUCCCAGCCAGAAGAGUGCCCUCCCCACCAAGAAAAAUGUGUGAUGAUUUAUUGAAAAUGUCUAAAUAGAAGAAUUGUUUUUCAUUAAUUAAAGAACAGAAAGGGAUUGUACCCUGAACAACGCAAGAAGUUCCCCAACCAGCACCACAGCACCGACGGGAGCCGCAGCAAUGACACCUCGCAAUCCUUAAGCUGCUGAACAACCAGGGAACUCCCAUCAUGUGAAGUAUUGUCAGAUUGACUAUGCUUCAGAAUCUCUCAGGAAGCCAGUACUCUGAAGCCCUUGACAGCACCCUGGGGGGGGGGCAGGAAUUGGUAGUUUCCAUGGCAGCGCGAAGAAAGCCUCCUGCAGCCAGAGGUAGGUGGAGCUUGGGUAGCCCUUUGCCGCUGGUGAAGGGAAUGUGGGAUGCUGCUUAGUUUCCAUGUCCUGCCAAUUACUGGCUGUCUUGAGUUAGGACCCUUCACGCCACAAGUAGCAGAAAUGGGGGACUUGGUACCAAGGAUUCUGGGGUAGUUCAGGAAGGCAGGCUAGGUGGACCUUCACAAUGACUGGACGAGGCUUUGUGGAGCUGUCUUUCAGGAGCUGUAAGUGGCUGGCCUUGCCUGACUUCCCUGUUUGUCUGCUUUAUUUCUCCCUUGCUAGCACACAGCAACGAGACCACUUAUCUGCCCCACAGAUAAGGUGUUCUCCUGCUUUUGAAUUUUCUUCUCCUCACUCCAUAGAUACUGACUAGAGUCUAUGAAUUCAAAUGCUUGAAGAGAAGGCAUUUGAUUAUCCUAAAUGUGGGCAAGUGGUGUUCAGCCCAGGGCCAAUUAGCUUCAGCCACAGGGCCAGGUCACGUGGCUCAAACACGGCUGCCAAUCUCCUCCACCAUCCCCUGGGUAGAUGGUGGGUGAAGGAGGAAGGACAUUCUCGCAUAAGAGCCGUGUGUGUGACUUGGCAGACCCUGCAAACUGUAUCCAAUACAUGUUGUAACUUUGGGAAAAAAAAUCACUUCACAUCACAGAGCCCUAGUUUUCUCCUCUAAAAAACAGAUAAAGCUGCUUGCCUUUGAAGGCUGUAGAAUUUACAGGCAACAACUUGCAAGUGAGCCCUAAACUCCAAAGCUCUAAAAACUGAAGUUUUAAUCUUAGUCUACAACAACAACAUUCACUGAGAAAUUAUUUAUUGAGCACUCAGUACACUCUGGGAAUACUUUUCAAUAUAAAAGUAAAGAGCAAAGACAGGAAUUCCCAUUUUGUGGCUCAGUGGGAACUACCCUGACCAAUAUCCAUAAAGAUGUGGGUU